UACAGAGGGGGCAAGCGUUGUUCGGAAUUACUGGGCGUAAAGGGCGCGUAGGCGGCCUGUUAAGUCGAACGUGAAAUCCCUCGGCUCAACCGGGGAACUGCGUCUGAUACUGGGUGGCUUGAAUCCGGGAGAGGGAUGCGGAAUUCCAGGUGUAGCGGUGAAAUGCGUAGAUAUCGUAAGGAAGACCAGUGGCGAAGGCGAGUCUCUGGACAGCAACUGACGCUGAGGCACGAAGGCCAGGGGAGCAAACGGG
rnacentral:rRNA from 1 species